GGGAAGGGGCGGAGGCGGCUGCGGACCCGAGCCCGGGGCCCCGGUCAGUGCUGCCGCCGCGUCCCGAGGACCCCGGGAUUCGCAGGCCAGGUGAGGAAAUGGAACAAGGAUGUGUAACAUUCAAUGACAGCAUGAUGGUUUUUAGGCCUGUCUGAAGACAGAAUUGGUGCAAAUCCAUCUGAAGCUGCUGCACAGGGGUUAUUUCUCCUUCUGAAAGCUGUUAUCCCAGAACUGUUGUCUCUGUUGGUGCUGGGCACAGCCUCGUUCAGCAGCGGGUCCAUCCUGGAGCCAGCCAGCCUUGGCUCUGUUGGACAUCAGGGAAGCUUCUGGCAGCUUCACAGAACUCAUCUUGACCACAAAAACCUUGUCAUGCAAACCCAAUACAAAGGUAUAAGAGCAGCCUUUUGGUAUUUUAAAGCAUCUAAUUUCAGGGGUUAUAUUCACAGAAAUGUUCAAGUGUGUGACUGACACCUGUGCAUGCUAAUAAAUGGU